GAAUAGACACAGGUAUAGAUCUGGUUUCUCAAGAAAAAGGAAUAUCCCACUAAUGUUUCCAUGGCAAAACUGGGAGCAUCUGUGUUUCCCGGCAGGCAUGUUGGUAAACAAAUGAGUAAAGGGCAAGAUUCUUACCAAGAUAAUUAAUGUUUGUGUUGAGCAUAUUAAGCACAGAAAGAGCUGAGAUAGCUUUUGAAAUGUGGAAAGGAAAAAAAAAAAAAAGAAAGAAAGACCAGAGGGAAAAGAAAGACAAAGGGAAAGGAACUUGGAUUUAACUUAAGUAUCAGUCUGCUCCACCUGGAGCAGGACACUUUAUGAGAACCAGUGGAAAGGAGCCUGAGCUGCUGGGGCCAUUCCCUGUGAAUUCAUGGCAUAAUAGAAUAAGAUUCAUCAUGUUUAAUCUGUGACCUGUACUGACAUUCCUAGAACUGUGAUUACAUCUUUAUAUUUCUCCAGGUAGACACAGGUAAGACAAGUGAGACUGAGAAGUUAAAGUCACCUAUCCAAAGUGUUACACCUGAUAAGAACGGACGAAUUCAAACCCAAGCCUGCCUGGUUUGAAGCCUGAGUUCUUUCCAUGAUAAAACACUACUUCAGCUCUGUAUUCUGUGUUUCUUAAAA